rnacentral:snRNA from 1 species
GUGUUACUCCGGUAGCACAUAUACUAAAAUUGAAACGAUACAGAGAAGAUUAGCGCAAGGAUGACACGCAAAUUCGUGAAGCGUUCCUCAUUUCA